GAAAAAGUGAUAAUAUCUCUUGUAAAAAGGGAGGGUGUAUAGAUCAGUAGGAAACUUUUCUCACUCAUGAGUCGCUUCAUCAUUAAUCUCAUCCGGAUGUAAAACUCAUUUAGGCGUCUUUAACAUAAAUACUGUGGGUCUUAACUUUAAGCCCUGGAAAACAAAUGGCGGAUUUAUCUUUUCCUCAAUCAGCAAUGGAAAACCCUAAAACACCACUUUCAACAAUCUCUACUUUCGUUCACCAACAUUUUAUGCGAUUAGGGUCUGAAUUUUCGAAUCGAUUUGAAGAAGGAAAACGAUUUGUAGUAGAGAAUGUGGUUACAAAAUUUCCCCAAAAGCAUCGUUCUGCACUGUCUCAAUUUGCUUCAGUAAAUCAAGAACUAGGGUUUAGUACUCAUCAUCAUCCUCAAGCUAAGCACGCAUUUGAUAUCGCUUUAAGUGCUGAUUAUGUGGCUAAAACAUUAGCUGGAACUUCUGUUUAUACUGUUAGCAAUAUGAAUAAUGAAUUUGUUCUUAUUUCGGAUCCUAAAAGUGUUAAAUCAUUAGGUCUUCUUUUUUUUAGACAAGAAGAUGCCGAAACCCUUCUUGCCCAGGUUCAGUUAAAGCAACCUGGUUUAGGGAGAGGAGCUAGAGUUGUUCCGAUCACGCUUGAUCAGGUCUAUAUGUUGAAGGUUGAAGGAAUUGCAUUCAGAUUUCUCCCUGAUCCAGCGCAAAUAAGGAAUGCGUUAGAGCUCAAAGCAGCAGAUCUUAAGAGUGGAUUUGAUGGGGUGCCUGUGUUUCAGUCAGAUCUUCUGGUUGUGAAAAAGAAGAACAAACGCUACUCCCCGAUAUACUUCCAAAAGGAAGAUAUAGAAAGAGAGCUCUCGAAAGUCUCUAGGGCGUCAAGAGGAUCGGGUGUUUCUCAACACAUUAUGGUUGGAAGUUUGGAAGAUGUGCUGAAAAAGAUGGAGGUAAACGAUAAAAAUUCGGGCUGGGAAGAUCUGAUCUUCAUCCCACCUGGUAAAAGCUAUUCCCAGCACCUUCAAGAAGUGGCCUCAGCAUAAUUUUGGACCUCUAUAUAUCUUCCAUCAGCCAUAUUAAGGAUCUAGAGGCAGGCAACUGCAUUGCAUAUUUAAGGUCCCUAUGAAGAUUAUAGAGUAUAAGUCAAAGUUAGAGAUAUUCUGGAGGAAUUACACAAACUAAUAUGAGUUUUCUCUCUGGAGCCAACUUCAGAUAUAAAAUGCCAACUUCUCAACUCCUCUUGUGUUUUGUUUCCAUACAGUUGAAGUGGUUUUAACAGUGUUCUAUUUAUUAAUGCGUACUUGUGGUGUGUAAGCAUCACAUUUAUCAGUCAUUAUCUUAUGGUUUCUUUUUGACAUGUUAGGUAGCUCUUCUUGGCAUGAUACUGCUGAUAUUUACAUUAGUUUGGCUUUUCACAUGAUGUCCAUCAAUUUGUUAUCUGUAUGUAUCAUACUUCCUUGUACAAUUUGCAAUCGUGCUAUAGGGAAGAUCUGAUAUUUAUAUGUUCCAUACAUAUGGACCA